rnacentral:tRNA from 1 species
GGCGUUGUGGCAGAGUGGUCUAAUGCGCAAGACUAGAAAUCUUGUUCCUUCGGGAGCGUCUGUUCGAAUCAGGCCAACGUCGA